CCCACAUUCAUACUUUUGGUGAAUUAGUAUCUAUUUUAUGUAUUUUAAUUUUAAGGUCAGAAUGUUUUAUAAGCAGGAAGUACAUCUUGUUUUUUGAAAAUGAUUAAUCUGUCUUUUUAAAUAUUGAACCACAUGCUGUUACCAGUCGUUUUGGUUAGAGUGCACUGUGUCAGACACCUCCCGUGUGCGUGGCUUCAUGGUGAACUCAACACUGAUGAAAAUGUUGUUCCUACCCUGGAAGAAACCGUAGCCUAUUGUGGGUUAAUCUGGCCACUCUUCAGUAGAGCUGCUGCAGUUUGUUGGGGGUCCACUCCAGUUCCUAGUUACCCUCGAUUUUCCAGUACCUGGAAGUAUCGCCAGUGAAGGCUUUGAAAUAGCAAAGAUGGUAGCCUGUCUCUUCUACUGGGAUCACCAUCCCAGGGAGAUACAGAUUGUUGCUGGUCCCAAUGCACCUGCAGGAAGUGAUUGAAGACCCUGGUUCAGAGUUCUCACCCAGUCAGAAGAAAUGGAAUUGGGAACCCUCUCAAAGAAGCUCACUGGAUAUGCUUUUGUCAAACAGAUGUGUUGCACUGGAGUACCGCUUCUGUCCCCGGUUGUCUUGGGCUCUCCAAAGCCUGGGGGCUGGAAUACCUACAUUUUCCAAACAGCGAAGAUGGCAGCCUGCCCAUCUCUUUGGAAUCUCCAUCCCAGGAAAUUUGCAAAUCUCUGUAGGCAAGAGAACAGUGGUGGGGAUGGCUGGAGGCCCUGGUUGGAAGGUCCCACUCAGUGAGGAGGAAUGGAUCAGGGACCUGCUUAAAGAAGCAGUCUGGCCACGUUUUAGGAGAGCAACUCUUCUGUGCUGGGGGAUCCUUUCAGCCCUCGGUCAGUUUGGACGCUUCAAAGCCCACAGGCUGGAAGAGCUGAGUCAUCUAAACAGUAAAGCUGGCAGUCUACCCUUUCUCCCAGGAACUUUGUCACAGAUUAAUUGGCCAUUUGAACUCUAAGAAAGAAGUCAAAAUAAAGCAUCACUUAUUUUUAAAUUGUAAGGACAUAGAGUGCAUUUUGGAUUAAGAGCCUUCUGACUAUUUAUGGCCACUGAAGUGUGUUUGGUAAGUUUCCUGAAUACUAGGGUUCAAAUUUAGUGUAAGUUUGUUACACUUUUUGAAAUUCUCACUCAUAUCAUUUGAUGACUUUCCUUUAUGUUUUUUUCUUUUUUCCCCUCAAUUUAUAGACAUUGGUUGAUAUUAAAAUUAUUGACUCUAUAUCUGUUCCAUAUUUUGCUAAUAUUUUUCCUAAUCUAUCAUAUCUUUGAACUUAGUAAUAUAUUUUACCAUACCCUUCUGUAUGUAGUCAUUAUGUUUGUUUGUUUGUUUGUUUUUUACACAUUUUGGAUGUGUUAACUUAGUUGGAAGCUUUUCUUCAUUCCAAGUUUACACUCAUCAUCUCUAAAUUACUUUAUAUAGAAGCACACACUGAAACAAAUAAUUGCCUGAAUAUUUGAGUUUCUCACUCAUCAAUUAACAAGAACACUACAAACUAGCCAAUUAAUUAAAAUUCUGUCACACAGGCUGCUGGAGUGCAGUAACAUGAUCAUAGCUCACUGUGGCUUUGAACUUCUGGGCUCCAUUGAUCCUCCUCUCUAAGCUCCCAAGUAACCAUGGUUACAGGCAUGAACCAUUACACUCAGCAUCAAGUUUUUUGUCUUAAUUUGAUUUUAAUAUAGCAGUAUCUUGUAACAUGCUUUUAUUAAUGUUACGUAUUUGACCAAAAUAGUUUA
rnacentral:lncRNA from 1 species